rfam:Daphnia pulex DAPPTscaffold_4_Cont270, whole genome shotgun sequence.
CCACACCGGGACGGGGAACCACCCUGCGUUCGCCUGUUGUUGGAAUUUUCCAGGUGAACACAGCUGGUGGUAUCUCAGUCCUUGUGAUAUU